CACGGUUUCACUUCUCCUCUUCGUCUCUUUCGCCCUUGUAUUCUCUCUCCAAUCUUGCUUGUCGCCGCUACCUUGCAGUCACCGUCGAUCGGCUCCUGCCGCCACCAAGCCCGAUGCACGCACCCGCACCGGCCACUGCCCAGGCCCGCAAUGGAUUUGCCCGCCGCGUCCGCCAUCAUCUGCGUCACCGAUGCCACUUCCCACGUCCGCGCCACCCUCCACCACACGUCGUGAUGCCCCCGAUGUCCGCACGCCUUUGUCGUCGCCCGCUCCAUGUGAUUGCUCGUGCGCCGUCUGCUCCAUGCAAUCGCCCUAUGCUUCGACGACCAAGAAAUGCCCUCCACACGUCGUCCGCAUUCGCAUCGUCCGUCGAGCGUCGUAGGACAAGUGGGUAUAUUUGAUUCUUCGAUUGACUCUAGAGAACUAAGACAUUAAGGACGACGAUUCAUAUCAUUGUCCCCUCAGGUGUCUCAUUCUCGUUCCACCUCCUAAGACAUGGAGAUUGCAACAUUUAUGGAAUAAUCGGAGUAUCAGAGGGACAUAUUGAGGCAACAAGAAGAGUAUCAGAGGUAGCAAGUUGAGCAUCAGAUGUAGAAGGAUGAGUACUAUGAGAACCUCUAGACCC
rnacentral:lncRNA from 7 species